rnacentral:rRNA from 1 species
AGAACGAACGCUGGCGGCAGGCCUCAAACAUGCAAGUCUAGGGGGUGUAGCAAUACAUCACCGGCGGACGGGUGCGUAACACGUGGGAAUAUACCUUUUGGUUCGGAACAACGCAGGGAAACUUGCGCUAAUACCGAAUGUGCCCUUACGGGGAAAGAUUUAUCGCCAAAGGAUUAGCCCGCGUAGGAUUAGCUAGUUGGUGAGGUAAUGGCUCACCAAGGCUCCGAUCCUUAGCUGUUCUGAGAGGAAGAUCAGCCACACUGGGACUGAGACACGGCCCAGACUCCUACGGGAGGCAGCAGUUGGGAAUCUUGGACAAUGGGGGAAACCCUGAUCCAGCCAUGCCGCGUGAGUGAUGAAGGCCUUCGGGUUGUAAACUCUUUCGACGGGGACAUAAUGACGGUACCCGUAGAAGAAGCUCCGGCUAACUUCGCGCCAGCAGCCGC